rnacentral:misc_RNA from 1 species
ACUCUGGUGCAAAAGAAUUACAACAUCCCUCUGGUGGCUGACAUUCAUUUUGCUCCUUCUGUUGCACUUCGAGUGGCUGAGUGCUUUGACAAAAUACGUGUCAAUCCUGGAAACUUUGCUGACAGGCGAGCCCAGUUUGAGCAAUUAGAGUACACAGAAGAUGACUAUCAGAAAGAACUCAAGCAUAUUGAGGAGGUCUUUACACCAUUGGUGGAAAAAUGUAAGAAGUAUGGACGUGCAAUGCGCAUUGGGACAAACCAUGGGAGCCUUUCAGAUCGCAUUAUGAGCUAUUAUGGGGACUCACCUAGGGGAAUGGUAGAAUCAGCAUUUGAGUUUGCCAGAAUUUGUAGAAAGUUGGACUUCCACAAUUUUGUCUUCUCAAUGAAAGCUAGCAAUCCAGUAGUUAUGGUUCAGGCGUAUCGCCUUCUUGUAGCUGAGAUGUAUGUUCAAGGAUGGGAUUAUCCUUUACACUUGGGAGUUACUGAAGCUGGUGAAGGUGAGGAUGGAAGGAUGAAGUCUGCAAUCGGAAUUGGCACACUUCUUCAGGAUGGU